AGUCCUAUUUUGUGGGAAAUUAGUUUUGCAGACUUUCUAAAAAAAAAAAAAUCUAAAACUUUUGUUCAGCAGCUGCUCCACUUUUCCCUGCAGUUUCAGGCUGAGCUGGAACCUGCAGCAGUCCUUCGACGGUUCUAUCACCUCAGUUAGCCCAAUUCUCAGUCCUGUGGGAACUCAGCUCUUGCAUCACUCCAUGGAAAGGACUGAAGCCUGUGAGUUCAACAAGCAAAGUCUGCAGCUGCCACCUGCGUUACUGCUCACUUUACUGGCUGUAGAUUGGGAGGUACUUCUGGAGAAGUACAAGGAAUUUACACUGAAGAAAAAGCUCUGUGGAAAAGAAAGAUAAUGUAUUAAGCAAGACCUAGAGACUGGCAAACCAGCUUUUCUGGUGGAAAAUUUACAGCAGUGUGUUAUUGACCUGGAGACUCUCGGAUAGGAUGCAUUUCUGUCAAGACAGUGUCUACAUCAGUAGCUUUCCUAUUCUGCUCUUUGACACCGCUGCAUUCCAUACAGAAUGUGCGGGGAAUUUAAGAGAAGAUGUAACGCCAAGGUUAAAAAGAAGAGAAAAAGAAGUUAAGGUUUUAAGGGUAAAAAAAUUGAGAAUGGAUCUCCUUGGAGAGGAAAGAGAGAGAAUGGUACAUCUAAAGGGCACAAUCUAUCACCCUAAACAUUGAUAGAAAUUAUCUACAUAUGCAUAAAAAUAUGCAAUGACCAGGAAAGUAUGCUGAGAAAAGUAUUUCCUUUUAAUCUUAUGAAAAUGGAAGUAUAAAACCUAACAAAAACAGCAGUUCAGAAGCAUUCUUUGGACCAAGACAAAACCAGCCUGGAUUCUGUUAUCCUUACUCACCAUGAAUGGAACCUAGAAGAGAGUGGAGUAGCUAGACUUAGAAUGAAGAGCAUGAAUGAAAGCAGGAGAGGAAGAUACCAGACUGGCAGUGAUCCCAAGCUGUUCACACACUGAAGUUCAGGACAGCACAUGUGGGUACCACAUGAAUAGGUGAAACUGUGAUUUUACAUGUGUGGAAAGGAAGAUAACAAUUAAACAAUCAGAUGUGCUAAGUGUAUCAUGCUGGGACAUCACUACAUUUCAGAUGGAUUGUGAGGUUUGAAACUGAAGGCGGUAACUUGGAAAGUGGCUAAGUUACAGCUGUUUUAAGGUUUUCUGUGUGGUCCCUGGAAUGCCACGGUGCCAGUCUUGUUCUGACUCCUCCUCUGUUAGCGUGCCAGGCACUUCACAGCCUAAGAAGAGCAUGCCACAUCUUUCAGCUGCUAAGACUCUAAAGUUUUUCACUCUGGAUAUAUUCUAAGUCUCCUCUCCUGCAUGCCUGCACUGCCCUCCAUAACCACUGUCUGCAAGAUUCCCUGCUGCAGCUUUCUCCUAAGGAUGAUGACUUGCCCCUUGCACUGGGGUGAGUGAGCCUGCCGGGUUGGGACCAGGACCAGGACUGGGACCAGGGCGAGGGUGAAGCUCUGACCUCUGCCACCUGCGUUCUGGACCACAGCAGUGGCGCUGACACAGCCCACGGCAGCGGUGGUGGAGGGGUCCAGAGAGACUGAACGAGGCAUCAUUUGGUUCUCAUUUUAAUUGUAGCUACAGCAAAUGGUGAUGCAAAGGGUCAUAAUAAAGCUCAAGGAAUUAAAAAUGAGCAGUCAAAAGCUUUUCUUGCCCUUCAGUAUGACCUGCAUCCUGAUUUGUCGUUUCCUCUCCAUUUUGGGUGACAAUCUUUGCCUGGAUGUUUUUUUUUAACUAUGACAGUAGUUGUUGUUAUUGCUGUUAAAAUUAUUAUUAUUGUCAUUGAUGUGAUUGUUGUUAUUAUUACUAUCAUCAUUAUCAUUAUUAUUAUUAUCAUCAUCAUCAUCAUCAUCAUCAUUAUCAUUAUCACCAUCAUUAGUUCUUUUGAGAUAGAGGCUGUAGCGUCUGCAGAACACGGAUUUAGUCUUUACACCAUAACUGAACUAUUAACCUGAACUGCAUGGAAACACUGCACCAAAUAGCCGUACAUUUGUUCAGCUGGUUCUGGCCCUUUUUAAAGCAAAACGUGGGAAGUUUCUCAAGAAGAGAUACAGCAGGGGGUCACAGAGGGCAGCCGCCCCUCCACUCCCAGGUCCUGACCUGAGGAACACCGUGGGGCCCUCUUGUUUCUCCUGACCAACACACACACAAAACUGCUGGAGGGACCUGUACGGCUGCACAGUUGUGUCGAUGUGCAACUGUGUGUUUUCAUACAGUCUUUCCUUGCACAAAAAUCGGAAUGGAAAACAGACAAAGCCACCCUCCUGUGGACUGAAACUGACAAUUCACACCAUGGGGCUCAGCCUCUGGAACUGCUUCUCCUUCCACUGGCAGUUUUGUGGCUUCCAUAGGUCACUCCUCUGAAACGUCUGCUUACCUUUCCAUCCAGUCUGAGAUAUCUGUAUUUUCAAUUAUAAGCUCCUCUGAGUGAGAAUGAUGUCUAUUUACGCACUUGCAGAGUGUUUAGCACAGCAGCCCUGAUCUCUUGCAAUGCCUCUAAGACCUGCAGUCAUACACCACUGGGGAUAAACACAUCAGUGAAUAUUUUACUCCACUGCCUCCAGCUGAAUACAAGGCAACUCAGAGCUUGGUGUCUCGUGAUAGAAAUCUUACAUAGCAUGAGCCCAAGCUAUUCCACAGACCACCUGCCUUUUCUUAACCAUGUGUAGAAUUGACUACUAGGAAUCCUGAUGUGUUUUAUAUGUUAUUAAUAAAGUUAACAUUUCUAUUAAAUUCUACUCCCUUCUGGGAUUCUCACCCAACCUUGAGCAUAAUAAUCAAGAAAAAAAACCUUUCUGCCACAUUAUUAAAUUGCAGUGGUAUAGAAGACUCUGGUAGCAUAAUGCCAUGUUGGCAUCUUUCCAGUACGGGAAAUUUUUUCCAUAGAUUUUUUUUUUUCAAGUCAAUUUAUUGCAAAACAGUUGCUUUUUGUAAUAUCACAGAUUUAUCCACAGUUUACAAUGCAAUCAUUGCUCCUUGCUAUUGGAAAAGAUUUAUUUAGCCAGUUUUGGCCUUCAUUCCAAAAGGCUGAAUGCCAAAUCAUUACAGUGUAUCUGGUGUUCUGUUGUCAGAAAAUAUGAUCUAGCACUAAGAUACUAUUCAGAGACUCUAAAAUCCAGAGAAAAUAAUUGUGGUAAAUCAAAACCUCAUAAAUACUUUAUAAAGUUGUUUUUAAUGUCUGUCCUCAUGUGUGACAAAAAAGUACCAGUUUACAUGCAACAAGAAUACAUGAGUUUUGAGGUUUCAUUUCCUACAUCGUCUAAGUUUUAAAACAAUAUUAAAGUCUAUCCUAUAUAGACACAAAAGUCAGGCAGUUGUUGUCACAUUAUAUUUUCUGGUACUACUGCAUUUUAAUGAGCCAAAAGACAGCAAACUGCUUUUCUAGACUUAACUACAAAUGACUAUUUUUUUAUUUUAGAAAAAAAAAGACACUAAGAGACUAAAAGUAUAUAUAUAUGGCUCAGAAGCUGAGGCCACAA